rnacentral:snRNA from 1 species
GCUACAGGCGGUGUUGUACAGUAAUAUUAACUGAUGAGAAGAUUAGCAUGUCCCCUGAGCAAGGAUGACAAGCAAAAUCAUGAAGUGCUCGAUCUACAG